UAGGGAAUCUUCGGCAAUGGGGGGAACCCUGACCGAGCAACGCCGCGUGAGUGAAGAAGGUUUUCGGAUCGUAAAGCUCUGUUGUUAAGGAAGAACGAGUGUGAGAAUGGAAAGUCCAUGCUGUGACGGUACUUAACCAGAAAGGGACGGCUAACUACGUGCCAGCAGCCGCGGUAAUACGUAGGUCCCGAGCGUUGUCCGGAUUUAUUGGGCGUAAAGCGAGCGCAGGCGGUUAGAAAAGUCUGAAGUGAAAGGCAGUGGCUCAACCAUUGUAGGCUUUGGAAACUGUUUAACUUGAGUGCAGAAGGGGAGAGUGGAAUUCCAUGUGUGACGGUGAAAUGCGUAGAUAUAUGGAGGAACACCGGUGGCGAAAGCGGCUCUCUGGUCUGUAACUGACGCUGAGGCUCGAAAGCGUGGGGAGCGAACAGG
rnacentral:rRNA from 1 species